CCCCACAGGCUCAUGUUGCGGCCACAUUUAUGCAUUAAAAAAAACAUUGUGGGUAACUCGUCAUAUGUUUGUAAAGGGACCGAGACACAUACAUCGAUAUUCAAUACAGAUAUUCAAAAUACAAUGGAUGAAUUCAAACAUGAUUAUAUUACAUUAUCUUUUGACCUUUUCGACUGCUCUAUUGAAUGUAUCUAAUGUUAUUUAUUUGGAGCUGUUCACAAGAGCUAUGGAGAGCUCUAGUGAAAGGACGUCAUCAAGGAAGUUUUGUAUCCAUUGAAUUAUGCUAAGUUAUGUGGAGGCUUCCAUCUGGUCACUAACAUCCUUUUUGUCACAGUCAGACCAGACAACCACACUCAUUUCUGGGAUACUGUGAGAGUCAGUGAAGAGUCAUUGUUCAACAAUAAUAUAUUGGGGAGAUAGGGAAUGGGAACACCAACUGUGCUCGGUAGAGAACUGGCAACCUGUGACCAAAAGGUCUUCACACUGGGGCAGUCCCACAUCAUUUACACGUAAGUUCCAAUAUUUAUUUGAGAACACAACAGACAAUUUGGAAUAAGAGCAAGUUCAAAUUGGCAGCGUUUCCACAGAGUCAAAUAUACUCUGUGAAUGAAUUUGUAGUGUAUUGGCUGAUGACUCAAAUUUCGGGAAGAAACUGGAAUAUUGUUAUUUUCCAAUAUGUAUUUGGUUUGUAGUCUUUUCAAUCUGAUUUCCAUACUGUAACUAUUCCCAUUGGUUUAUGUAGAGCUUCUAGGUAGUUUUUCUAUAUAGAUUGGAUAGAAAACCUCCACUUGUGUUCUGGCUACCUAAAACUCAAUGAGUGGCUGAAAUGGGAGUGGUUGACUCCAUAGGACUCAUAAGUUCUCAUGGCGGUUCUUAUCUGGAAAAAACAAACAAAGACCAACUAACCAAAUCAUACACAUUUUUGGGGGGUCAUGAAAGGAUAAUAAACCUUCAUUAAUCAGCGGCAGGGUAGCCUAGUGGCUAGAGCGUUGGACUAGUAACCAAAAGGUUGCAAGUUCAAAUCCCUGAGCUGACAAGGUACAAAUGUGUCAUUCUGCCCCUGAACAGGCAGUUAACACACUGUUCCUAGGCUGUCAUUGAAAAUAAGAAUUUGUUCUUAACUGACUUGCCUAGUAAAAUAAAGGUAAAAAAAUAAAUAAUAAUAUUUCCAAAAGUGUAUGAAUUCCUUGUUCAGACCAUUGUUUAAAAAUGAUAGGGUUUCCUCCCAAAAGUAAGGAGUUAUUUCUAAAUAUUGGUGUUUGUGUAUGGACUAUUGCACUUCCCGAUUACCAAGUUUUUCAAUUUGUUGCCAGGUCCGUAUUGAGUGGCCGAUGAUUGGUCCAAACUGAGAACAGCAAAACUUAGAAGAUAAGGAAGAGAAUAGUUAAUAUUUCAGUGUAUAUUUUCCUAUAUUUCAAACCAAGGAAGACAUUUACCUUGAUCAAACCAUUUCUUAAGUGGGCGGAGCACUAGAGACAAAACAUGUAACUUGAAGUUGGGUUAACCUAGACCCUCAAAACCUUUGGGUUGACGUUUCCCUUUUCACAUAACAUUCAAGACUGAAAUUUGAAUCUUGACAAAUCUUUCUUUAAAAAAGUAUCUUCACUCAGACUGCUUUUAACAAAGGUGUAAUGGUUUUCUUCCUCUUCUGAUGAAGAAUAGGAUGGAUCGGACCAAUGCGCAGUGUGGUAAGUGUUCAUGUUAUAUUUAUUAGAACAGAAACACGAAACAAAAUAACAAAGAGAGUGAAAUGAAACAGUCCUGUAAGGUGCAGCAACACAAAACAGAAUACAACUACCCACAACCCAUAGUGGGAAAACAGGCUGCCUAAGUAUGGUUCUCAAUCAAAGACAAUGAUAAACAGCUGCCUCUGAUUGGGAACCAUACCAGGCCAAACACAGAAAUACAAAAACAUAGCACAACACACAGAAUGCCCACCCCAACUCACGCCCUGACCAAACUAAAAUAGAGACAUAAAAAAGGAAUAAAGGUCAGGAUGUGACAAAAGGCCUGAAAUUCACAGAAUUCUACAUUUUCUUGCUAACAUUUUGCUGCGCCUGAACUAAAGUCUUUAAUGAAUGAAAACUGGUGAUUUGAGAGGACAGAAAAAAUGUGUUUGGUUUAUAAGUCUUCGAUAGUCAUUGUUUCAUAAAACAAUUACUUUGAGAUCAAUUACAUUUUGUACAAUUCAUCUUUUUUUACUGAAAUUAUUAAUACAGGACAUGACAGAACAUAACGUUACAGCUACUGUCUGAUCUCUAACAAAUAGAUUAAACUGACCCCUGUCUGUCUGUCUGUCUGCCUGCCUGCCCGCAUGGCUGCCUUGUCCAUCCGUCUGUCCUUCCGUCCAGCCCUUCAUCUUGCUGCCCUGCCCUGGUAUGAAUCCCAGAUGUUUGGUCUGAAGGGGAAGGAUUUAACUUAGAGUCCUUUCAACGUGGUCAAUGUGGUUUUGUAAUUAAACCCAUACAAUUAACACUGACAAGCACAGGUCAUGGAGAGCAAGGCGCCUCUCUUCAAAUGGUCCUCCAUCACUCAAAGGGAGAAAAAGAAAGGGGGGUCAUAGAGAGAGAGCGAGCGAGAGAGUAGAGGGAGAGUAGAGGGAGAGAGAGAGAAAGAGAGAAAGAGCAAGAGAGAGCAAGAGAGAGAGAGAGAGAGAGAGAGAGAGAGAGAGAGCAAGAGAGAGCAAGAGAGAGAGAGAGAGAGAAGAAAAGGGCAGCCAGUGGAGCACACACACCAUUGUAAAUACAACCUAUAUUCAUCUGUUUAUUUAUCUUACUCGGCUUCUUAUGGAUACAGGCUGUGUUUGAAGUCUAUGUAGAAGAGCUCUACAAGUUAACCUCAAAACCACAGUGACCACACAGAUUGAGUGUUCCAUAUUUUGGUUGAUAUCCAGUUUCAGUACAUCAAAGAGAUUCAAGCUGUUGUAGCUGUUGUAGCAAAGUACAACCCAAGCAUCCAAAUUAAGCCCAUCUAAACUUUUGUGGUAAUGUAUAUCAUAUACCUUUUUUGCACUAUUGGUUAGAGCCUGUAAGUAAGCAUUUCACUGUAAGGUCUACACCUGUUUUAUUCUGCGCACGUGACAAAUAAACUUUGAUUUGAUAUCAAUGUUGACUAAGGAUUCAAAAAGUUAAUUGAUGACAGUAAUUCAAUAGUUACGUUCCUAAUUAAUGAACAAAUAGUAGGCCUACUCCUUACAAUACUUAGUAAACAAUGAUGUGCACUAAAAUAGUUAAAUUCAGUGUUUAAAAACAACACAUCAUUAGUUUAAUUAUUUUUGUACUUAUCACAACGAACAGCAAUAAUCAUAGUAUCAUCCUGAAAAACACUUCAACAAAAUGGUGCAGCAUAUCAACAUUUUAAUGUAUUGAUUUGAUACUGUUGAUUUCAGUCAUACAACAUCUGUUUUGAGAGGAGAUGUUUCAAAGCCUUUAAGGCUAAGUGGAUUUAAUCUAAAAUUCAAACUCCAUUUUCAGUUAGAGACUCAUUUGUUUUUUAAAAAUAUCCUUACUACUGCGAUACAUACUUAAAAAAUGUUGCAAAUAAAUAAAUUCUAUGACCAAGUACAUUUAAAAUAUUUAGUUAGUUUCUCACACUGUGUUUGACUGUUAUACAUCCUUUGGUCCUUCUUGUUGUUUUGUAGUAAUACAUCAGUCAGUAUGGCACUGUGUCACUUGGGCUAAUUUUGUUUUAUUUGUAGUAUUUGUAUUGGUUUUUAGCCUGUCCAAAGACUACAGAUGAAAAUGAGACAUUUUGUUAGGCCUAUUGUAACUAAUUCAUUCUUUAACGUAUUAGUUAUUUAAUAUUUUAAGAUGUUAGUUACUGUGCAUUUUCUCUAUUAAUAAAUACAUGUUAGAGAAACGAUGAUUAAUAAACUACAAAACAUUAUAUUCAUGUGAAAACUAAACAUGUGCUAAUCCCAGGGCUCUAUUCUGUCCGUGUCGUGGAAAUUCAACACUAAUGUCCAAUUCAAAUUAAAAGUCAAUGUUUCCUCAUUGGUGGAGACUGCAUUCACGGUCAACUCUGCAUAUGUCGGCUCAAUCGGAAAUUACCUUUACAUUUCUAUCGCUCAGUCUGUAACGCUUCAACAAAAUUGAUUGAAUAGAGCCCUUAGUUUUCAGAAAGAACUAGCCCGGUUUUGCUUGCAUAUUAAUCAAUAUAUGAUAAAGGGGAAAUGAGGAGUUAAGCGCAUCCUAUGAUGUUAUCUCCUGGUUGCACUAUUAUCAUUUAUUUUCUCAUCUUUUAUUUCACAUUUCAACCAUGACACUAGUCUGUGCACACACACAAAGUACUCCUACAUUUCUCUCUUUAGUCCUCUAUAAAACCCAACUGUACUCCUAAAACGUUGUUUCUCAGGGCUCUAAUCAAUCUGUAAAGCUGAAGGGUUACAGAUUCCGCAAUAUAAAUGUAAAGGUAAUUUCCGAUUGAGUCGACAUAAGCAGUACUUACCUUGAAUGCAUUCUCUGCUAAAGAGGGAACAUUGCCUUUACAUUUCAAUCACGCUAUAAAGCUGAAUUUACGCAAUGUGGAUUGAAUAGAGCCCUUAUUAGUCUGCUGAGCAAGCGGGCUUCAGGUAAAUGGGAGUAAAAGCCCUUUCUACAGAGUGCACAGUUCCCUCAGAGCUAGCCAAGCAUGUCAUUAUAAUAGAUCUCUUUCACCCUCCCACACCAUUGGACACACGGAUGGGCCAGUCCUCAUUAUUCAGGAACUAAAUGAAGAGUUGGUACUUGGGUGGCCGUCUGUGCCACUUGAAAGCAUUUGAUAGACUGAAGUAAAUGGCCCACUAAUUGAUAGAGAAUCAAAAAGGGAAAAUUAAACAUUCAAGAGACAUCUGAAAAACGUUGCCCCUGAAGGAAACACAUGCUCGAAGAAAGAAAGCAGCUCAAGUGUUACAUGGAUAUUAUUUCUAAAGUACUGUAGUGCCGAUUGAAGAAGUGUCCAGACAUAGGUUACCUAAUAGUAGCGUGACAUUUGAAAGGAUCAAAAAGGACAUUUUUGAAAAGAGAGAAGAGAUCAUGUUUUUUAAAAGCCAAAAUACUAUUUUACCUCGUUCAUAAUGUAAAUCACAGAAAGGCUUUGGAAAUACUGAAAAGCUUUUUUAUUUCUAGAAAAACAUUUAUUUAGUCACUAACAUAAUGUAGGUUAAACCAGAUUAUAAUAAAACACUAGAUUUAAAAUCUCUAAACUAUUUUUUUGAAACUACAUGUAUUAAAAAGCAUCAAUGAAUAUAUAUUUUGGAUGAAAUGAAAAUCAAGAAAACUGCUUGUCCCAGAGCAGAGUGGGGCCAUGUUGUUAGCAUGUGUUACUCAUAUCUCUGGGCCUGACGGAUAUGGAUACUAUUGAUAUAUACAUAUUAAUAUACUUAUACCAUACACUUGAAUUUGUUCUUUAGAAAGAGGAGAGGUGCUGAGUCAUUUCUGGUGGCUGAGAAUUCUAUGAUGACAUUACUCUAUACAUAACUGAAAGACACAUUCAUUAAAUCAGUUUUUGGUUCGGGUACCAAGAAGAAACUCAUAGUGGCGGGAGAGAUAAAGAGUGGAGAAGGGUAGCGCUGGUGUCCUGUCCUUUGGCACUUUCUACAGCAUGGCAUCCCACUUACUCAGCACCCCGCGGUACAACAAACACACGUACUGGUCAUGGAAUCAUACACACACACACACACACACGGUUCCAUCCAUGGAGUAACAACACACAGUGCACUCCGCCAAUCAAAACAAAACUACAACUGAACACACACAGGCAAGGAGUCAAGGGACAGUAAAACACACGGAUACAUGCACGUACACACACACACACACACACACACACACUCACACACAAAGCCUUUUUGUGGGUAGAGGGAUAUUCUAGGACACACUGUAGCGAGGAGAGGGACACUGGAUCAGAGUGGGACAUGUGUUAGGUAUAUGAGAGACAGGGAUACAGACCCAGAGCAAAGGGACAGGGAGGCACAUAACACAUGUCAGGAACAGAGGGGAUACACACACACACACACACACACACACACACACACACACACACACACACACACACACACACACACACACACACACACACACACACACACACACACACACACACACACACACACACACACACACACAAGGCCAAGCCAAUUAACACCUUGCCAUAACACAGAUCAUGCUAGGAAUCCAUGAAUGCCAUAAGAGAGAGAGAGAGUGAGAGAGUGCACGAGGAUAAGCAAGGCAAAAAUUAUAUUAUAUCACAGAAAGGAUAAUCAUAUACCAUGGCAUUGAAUACUCUUUUCUGAUUGGCUUGAAGGGCAUUCUAGAGCGGGCAUUAUUUCCAGGCGAUGAGAGUGGAGCAGUAGUGUACGUUUCUAUGGGCCAAUCUCUUCACUCCCUGAAGUUUGGCUGAAAAUCCAGAAGAUGGCAACAUACAUCUGGCUGAGGCACAAGGUGGUGGGAGCGUCCUAGUGGAGUCUUUCUCGUUUAUUUGUGUUCCCCUCCAAUUUCUCUGAGCUGAGCUGUCUCAUUGAUUCUCGGUGGCCCCUGGUCGGGAAUUCACACCACAGACCCGAGGACACUCAUCCACUGGCUUUAUUUAGAGGUGAUGCUCUCUCUCACUCUCUCAUAUUCUCUCUCUAUUUAAUCUUAAUGCACUCUUUCACUAUCUCUGUCUUUCUCUCUCUUAUAUCUGUAUCUGUCCCUUUUCCCUCUCUUCCUCUCUCAAUUCAAUUCAAAGGGCUUUUUUGGUGGUUGGAACCAAAAAUCAAAAAAUGUCCACCGGUCAUCCAUUGCUCGUGUUUCUUGGCCGAAGUGAGUCUCUUCUUCUUCUUGGUGUCCUUUAGUAGUAGUUUCUUUAUAGCAAUUCGACCAUGAAGGCCUGAUUCACACAGUCUCCUCUGAACAGCUGAUGUUGAGAUGUGUCUGUUGGGCUACAUUCUGAGGCUGGUAACUCUUAUGAACUUAUCAUCUGCAGAAGAGGUAACUAUUUGUCUUCCUUUUCUGUGGCGGUUCUCAUGAGAGACAGUUUUAUCAUAGCGCUUGAUGGUUGUUGCAACUGCACUUGACGAAACGUUCAAAGUUCUUCAAAUUUUCCGUAUUGACUCAUGUCGUUUCUCUUUGCUUAAUUGAGCUUUUCUUGCCAUAAUAUGGAUUUUGUCUUUUACCAAAUUGGGCUAUCUUUUGUAUACUCUCCCUACCUUGUCACAAAUGCAUUAAGAAAGAAAGAAAUUCCACAAAUUAACUUCUAACAAGGUACACCUGGUAAAUGAAACACACUUCAGGUGACUACCUCAUGAAGCUGGUAGGGAGACUGCCAAGAGUAUGCAUAUCAGUCAUCAAGACAAAAUAUAUUUUGAUUUGUACAACACUUUUUUGGUUACGACAUGAUUGUGUUAUUUCAUAGUUUUGAUGUCUUCACUAUUAUUCUACAAUGUAGAAACUAGUGAAAAUAAAGAAAAAUGCUUGAAUGAGUAGAUGUCCUAAAACUUUUGACCAGUAGUGUACCCCAACAUUUGUAUC
ensembl:lncRNA